rnacentral:rRNA from 1 species
UAAGGGAUAUUGCACAAUGGGCGCAAGCCUGAUGCAGCAACGCCGCGUGCCCGAUGAAGGCCUUCGGGUCGUAAAGGGCUUUUCUGGCUGAAGAGAUAGACUGUAAGCCAGGAAUAAGUGUCGGCUAACUACGUGCCAGCAGCCGCGGUAAAACGUAGGACGCGAGCGUUAUCCGGAGUUACUGGGCGUAAAGCGCGGGCAGGCGGUCUGACAAGUCUGAUGUGAAAUCUCCGGGCUCAACCGGGAGAGGCCAUUGGAAACUGACAGGCUGGAGGGCAGUAGAGGUAGGCGGAAUUCCGGGGUGGAGUGGUGAAAUGCGUAGAGAUCCGGAGGAACACCAGAGGCGAAGGCGGCCUACUGGGCUGCACCUGACGCUGAGCCGCGAAAGCCAGGGGAGCGAACGGGAUUAGAACCCCGGUAGUCCUGGCCGUAACGAUGUGUGCUGGAUGGGUGGGGGUAAAACCCACACUGUCGAAGCUAACGCGA